rnacentral:misc_RNA from 1 species
GAAAUGCGAUAAGUAAUGUGAAUUGCAGAAUUCAGUGAAUCAUCGAAUCUUUGAACGCACCUUGCGCUCCUUGGUAUUCCUUGGAGCAUGCCUGUUUGAGUAUCAUGAAAUCUUCAAAGUAAAUCUUUUGUUAACUCAAUUGGUUUCUACUUUGGUAUUGGAGGUCUUUGCAGCUUCACACCUGCUCCUCUUUGUUCAUUAGCUGGAUCUCAGUGUUAUGCUUGGUUCCACUCGGCGUGAUAAGUUAUCUAUCGCUGAGGACACUGUAAAAGGUGGCCAAGGUAAAUGCAGAUGAACCGCUUCUAAUAGUCCAUUGACUUGGACAAUACUUUUAUGAUCUGAUCACAAAUCAGGUAGGACUACCCGCUGAACUUAAGC